AUACUGCAAGUAGGGUAGAAUAUGCACCUUGAUCAUGAAGAAGGUUUUCCCAGGCUGAGGCUCAUCCAUUGCACUGAGGGUGUGCUGACCUCUGCUAUUUCCCCAAAUGCGGGAAACUCGACUAUAUAAUUUAUGAUAGCUGGUGGGUUCAUAUGAGACACCCA